AUGUGUCAAGCGUUUAUUAGCACAUGGAAAUAAGCUUCAGGUCUGUUUUAGGUCUGCUUCAGGUCAGCUUUAAGUCUGCUUCAGGUCUGCUUUAAGUCUGUUUUAGGUCUGCUUCAGGUCAGCUUUAAGUCUGCUUCAGGUCUGCUUUAAGUCUGUUUUAGGUCUGCUUCAGGUCAGCUUUAAGUCUGCUUCAGGUCAUCUUCAUGUCUACUUUAAGUCUGUUUCAGGUCUGCUUUCGGUCUGGUUUAGGUCUGUUUUAGGUCUGCUUCAGGUCAGCUUUAGUUCUGCUUCAGGUCUGCUUCAGGUCUGCUUCAGGUCUGGUUUAGGUCUGCUUUAGGUCAGCUUUAGUUCUGCUUCAGGUCUGUUUCAUGUCUGCUUUAGGUCUGCUUCGGGUCAGCUUUAGGUCUGCUUCGGGUCAGCUUUAGGUCUGCUUCAGGUCUGCUUUAGGUCUGCUUUAGGUCUGGUUUAGGUCUGCUUCAGGUCUGGUUUAGGUCUGCUUCAGGUCUUCUUCAGGUCUGCUUUAAGUCUGCUUCAUGUCAGCUUUAGUUCUGCUUCAGGUCUGCUUCAGGUCUGCUUCAGGUCUGGUUUAGGUCUGCUUCAGGUCUGCUUUAGGUCUGCUUCAGGUCUGCUUCAGGUCUGCUUCAGGUCUGCCGUCUCUGCAGGAGAACAGUGAGCUGAAGUUCACGUGUCGGGCUCAAACACGUGGGCUCCUCCGCUGUUAAAGAUCUUGACUCGUCUCCUGCGCAGGACCCGGGUGCCCCUGGGCGUACCGGGCCGCGUCAGGGCCGGCGAGCCCCCCCCGCCCCCCUCCGCCCCCUC
ensembl:lncRNA